rnacentral:rRNA from 1 species
GAUGAACGCUGGCGGCGUGCCUAAUACAUGCAAGUCGAGCGAACGGACGAGAAGCUUGCUUCUCUGAUGUUAGCGGCGGACGGGUGAGUAACACGUGGAUAACCUACCUAUAAGACUGGGAUAACUUCGGGAAACCGGAGCUAAUACCGGAUAAUAUUUUGAACCGCAUGGUUCAAAAGUGAAAGACGGUCUUGCUGUCACUUAUAGAUGGAUCCGCGCUGCAUUAGCUAGUUGGUAAGGUAACGGCUUACCAAGGCAACGAUGCAUAGCCGACCUGAGAGGGUGAUCGGCCACACUGGAACUGAGACACGGUCCAGACUCCUACGGGAGGCAGCAGUAGGGAAUCUUCCGCAAUGGGCGAAAGCCUGACGGAGCAACGCCGCGUGAGUGAUGAAGGUCUUCGGAUCGUAAAACUCUGUUAUUAGGGAAGAACAUAUGUGUAAGUAACUGUGCACAUCUUGACGGUAUCUAAUCAGAAAGCCACGGCUAACUACGUGC